UACAGGGGGUGCAAACGUUGCUCGGAAUUAUUGGGCGUAAAGCGCGCGUAGGCGGUCACCUAAGUCGAAUGUGAAAGCCCUCGGCUCAACCGGGGAAGUGCAUCCGAAACUGGGCGACUGGAGUACCAAAGAGGGUCGCGGAAUUCCCGGUGUAGAGGUGAAAUUCGUAGAUAUCGGGAGGAACACCGGCGGCGAAGGCGGCGACCUGGUUGGAUACUGACGCUGAUGCGCGAAAGCCAGGGGAGCGAACGGG
rnacentral:rRNA from 1 species